GAUGAACGCUGGCGGCGUGCCUAAUACAUGCAAGUCGAGCGAAUGGAUUAAGAGCUUGCUCUAUGAAGUUAGCGGCGGACGGGUGAGUAACACGUGGGUAACCUGCCCAUAAGACUGGGAUAACUCCGGGAAACCGGGGCUAAUACCGGAUAACAUUUUGAACCGCAUGGUUCGAAAUUGAAAGGCAGCUUCGGCUGUCACUUAUGGAUGGACCCGCGUCGCAUUAGCUAGUUGGUGAGGUAACGGCUCACCAAGGUAACGAGGCGUAGCCGACCUGAGAGGGUGAUCGGCCACACUGGGACUGAGACACGGCCCAGACUCCUACGGGAGGCAGCAGUAGGGAAUCUUCCGCAAUGGACGAAAGUCUGACGGAGCAACGCCGCGUGAGUGAUGAAGGCUUUCGGGUCGUAAAACUCUGUUGUUAGGGAAGAACAAGUGCUAGUUGAAUAAGCUGGCACCUUGACGGUACCUAACCAGAAAGCCACGGCUAACUACGUGCCAGCAGCCGCCGCCG
rnacentral:rRNA from 1 species